rnacentral:misc_RNA from 1 species
GAUGAAGAACGUAGCGAAAUGCGAUAAGUAAUGCGAAUUGCAGAAUUUCCGUGAGUCAUCGAAUCUUUGAACGCACAUUGCGCCCACUGGUAUUCCGGUGGGAAUGCCUGUUCGAGCGUCAUUAUCCUCCCUCAAACCUCGGGUUUGGUGUUGGACCCAAGGUGUGUGAACAACUGGUCUCAAAGACAAUGACGGCGUCCGUGGGAACCUCGGUGCAACGAGCUUUUAGGAGCACGCGUCGAGUUUCAAGGACCUUCCGGGCCGGUCUCCUUUACUAUUUUUACAAGGUUGACCUCGGAUCAGGUAGGAAUACCCGCUGAACUUAAGCAUAUCAAUAAGCGGCGGA